rnacentral:rRNA from 1 species
GGACUACCCGGGUUUCUAAUCCCGUUUGCUCCCCUGGCUUUCGCUCAUCAGUGUCAGUGUUGGUCCAGGACGCCGCCUUCGCCACCGGUGUUCCUCCAGAUAUCUACGCAUUUCACCGCUACACCUGGAAUUCCGCGUCCCUCUCCCAAACUCAAGCCAUCCAGUAUCAGACGCAGUUCCCCGGUUAAGCCGAGGGAUUUCACGUCUGACUUAGUUGGCCACCUACGAGCCCUUUACGCCCAGUAAUUCCGAACAACGCUGGCCCCCUACGUCUUACCGCGGCUGCUGGCAC